UACGUAGGGUGCAAGCGUUGUCCGGAAUUAUUGGGCGUAAAGAGCUCGUAGGCGGUUUGUUGCGUCGGCUGUGAAAUCCCGAGGCUCAACCUUGGGUCUGCAGUCGAUACGAGCAAACUAGAGUGUUGCAGGGGAGACUGGAAUUCCUGGUGUAGCGGUGAAAUGCGCAGAUAUCAGGAGGAACACCGGUGGCGAAGGCGGGUCUCUGGGCAACAACUGACGCUGAGGAGCGAAAGCGUGGGGAGCGAACAGG
rnacentral:rRNA from 1 species